rnacentral:antisense_RNA from 1 species
GCGCCCGCAGGGUAGGAGACCUGGAGCUUCAGAACCCGCCCGCCAGAGUCGUAGUAAUGGAUGGGGAGUAGCCUUCCCAUUUUCAACACAUAUCUCAUUCUAAAUUGACGUUCUGGUGAGCUGGCCGAAGAAGGAGAAAGACCCGCGGCUGCGACCUCUGACCUCUAACCCCGGACGCACUUUGAUUUCGCCGGCUUGCGCUGAAGGCUGACUCCCUGGGCCGCAGCCUGGCGGGGGAGCCGCCUGUGGGGUGUCCCCGGCGCGGGAGGGUGCUCUGGUUCAGGCCUGCUGCCCAGAUAUGCACAAGCCAAGGCCUUUUCUGCAGACCAAGUAGCCUUCCCUGGAGAGCGCCCCCAGCACCACGGAAACUAUCUAUAUGCCCCGCGGUGGCCAGCCCGCCUUAUCCCAGCCCCGAGACCCAAAACAAGAAGCAUGGACUGAAUUUGAGGUUUCUGGAUGGUCGCGUGAACCGAGGGGACGGGUACUGGACUGACAAGAAAUGAGCCUUGAAGGUCAAUCUGGGUGACACCCGAGUCUCCUGAUGGAGUUUCACUAUGUUGCCCAGGCUGAUCUGGAACUCCUGACCUCAAGCGAUCCACCUGCCUCAGCCUCCCAAAGUACUGAGAUUACAGGUGGGAGCCACCGUGCCCGGCCUGGUCCUGUGCAUUUUAUAGAUAAGGUAACUGACAAACCUAGCCACAGUCACCCCUUCACCCUACAGGAGAAGUGGAAUUUGAACCCAGAGCCUUCUUCACCACCACCUCCAUUGUUUCUGGAAGCACCCUCCAGGCAGGCCAGCCAGCAUCACAGGGCCUCCCUUGGGGCUGGAACGUCUGCAGGAUGCCCCUUUGAGAAAUGCUGCUCCACAGAACCCUGCCUUUCAGGCCUUGGAGACGUGGGCAGGGGAGAAGCAGCGUCCCUCAGAGCCAGGCCUGGCAGUGGUGCCAGCAGGGGCCAAGGCCCAGGGAGCAGGGUCUCCUGUCAGAGGGACCUGGGCAAGCCCCUCCAUGUGCCAGCUGGUUUCUCAGCAGGGGAGGUCCACACCAUGCCGCCUGGGAACCUGGGUGCCUAAACGCAACAGGAGCCGAGGCACAAAUUUAACCAAACACCAAAGUUGCGUGAGGCCCCAGUUCGUGAGCCGGGCUCCAAGGACAUGUCCUUAGGCAGCUCUGGAAGGCCCAGCGCCAGCCCCCGUCCUCUGUUAAAGGGAACCAGCCCCGCGGCUCCGCCCCAGGCAUGGUAGCCUGAGCGCACCCUCAGGGUAGUAGGGGCACCUGAGGAGCAGGGUCUGCCCUGGCAUGAGCAGAGCCCAGGAUGGGGUCAGGGUCAGGCCCUGCCGGAGGCUGGAGGGUGCCCAAGGCGAGGCCGGUGAGGCCCAGCUCUACAAAUAAAGUGUUUUAUUUACAGGA